CUGAUUCCGGCUGCCAUCAAUGCGAACCAGAAUCCUCCACCGUCUGAUCUCCUCCUCCAUGAUGUUUACUGUGACGACUCGAAGAACUGAAGCCGGCGGAGACGGAAAUUUCAUCGUCAUUGGUCAAAAUUUCGAUUUAGGGUAAAAUUUCAGAAAUCAUGAUGAAUUACUAAAGUUAUCCAGUUAUCAUUGAAAGUUAAAAGUUAUAUGGGCAAAGAAUACAAGGUGUUGUGAUUUUAAUUUUUGCAAUAACAGAUGGUAUCCUCUGUUUUUGUACUAUUUUCAGUCAGCCUAAUUCUCAAACUGGAGAUAGCAUUUGACUUUCAAUAGUUUGUAAUGUGCUUAGUUAGUAUUAAUCCUUCGCUAAA